AGUGAACGCUGGCGGUAGGCCUAACACAUGCAAGUCGAACGGCAGCACAGUAAGAGCUUGCUCUUACGGGUGGCGAGUGGCGGACGGGUGAGGAAUACAUCGGAAUCUACUUUUUCGUGGGGGAUAACGUAGGGAAACUUACGCUAAUACCGCAUACGACCUACGGAUGAAAGCAGGGGAUCUUCGGACCUUGCGCGAUUGAAUGAGCCGAUGUCGGAUUAGCUAGUUGGCGGGGUAAAGGCCCACCAAGGCGACGAACCGUAGCUGGUCUGAGAGGAUGAUCAGCCACACUGGAACUGAGACACGGUCCAGACUCCUACGGGAGGCAGCAGUGGGGAAUAUUGGACAAUGGGCGCAAGCCUGAUCCAGCCAUGCCGCGUGGGUGAAGAAGGCCUUCGGGUUGUAAAGCCCUUUUGUUGGGAAAGAAAAGCAGCAGGUUAAUACCCCGCUGUUCUGACGGUACCCAAAGAAUAAGCACCGGCUAACUUCGUG
rnacentral:rRNA from 1 species